GCCUGGCUGGCUUAGUCAGUGGAGCAUGUGACUCUCAAUCUCAGGGUUGUGAGUUUGAGCCCCAUGUUGGGUC
rnacentral:tRNA from 1 species